GCGGCGUGCUUAACACAUGCAAGUCGAUCGGUAACGCGGGGGCAACCCUGGCGACGAGAGGCGGACGGGUGAGGAACGCUUGGGAAUCUGCCCUUCAGCGGGGGACAACACGGGGAAACUCGUGCUAAUACCGCAUACGCUCCACGGAGGAAAGCCGGGGACCGCAAGGCCUGGCACUGAAGGAUGAGCCCAAGUCGGAUUAGCUAGUUGGCGGGGUAACGGCCCACCAAGGCGACGAUCCGUAGCUGGUCUGAGAGGACGAUCAGCCACACUGGGACUGAGACACGGCCCAGACUCCUACGGGAGGCAGCAGUGGGGAAUCUUGCGCAAUGGGCGAAAGCCUGACGCAGCCAUGCCGCGUGAAUGAUGAAGGUCUUAGGAUUGUAAAAUUCUUUCACCGGGGACGAUAAUGACGGUACCCGGAGAAGAAGCUCCGGCUAACUUCGUGCCAGCAGCCGCGGUAAAAC
rnacentral:rRNA from 1 species